UACGAGGGGGGCGAGCGUUGUUCGGAAUUAUUGGGCGUAAGGGUGCGUAGGCGGCCUGACAAGUCUGAUGUGAAAUCCCUGGGCUCAACCCAGGGCCUGCAUCGGAAACUGUCGGGCUUGAGUAUGGGAGAGGUGAGUGGAAUUUCCGGUGUAGCGGUGAAAUGCGUAGAUAUCGGAAGGAACACCUGUGGCGAAAGCGGCUCACUGGACCAUUACGUGACGCUGAGGCACGAAAGCUAGGGGAGCAAACAGG
rnacentral:rRNA from 1 species